CAGUUUACGCCGUCCCUUCUUCUGUCUCUCGGUUUGGUUUCCGGGUUUUCUGGUCGAACCUGACAUCAGCUCUGGAGCCUUAAACUCGUUCAUCUGAAUCAUGACAUGACAAUACACAGAUGAGAGAUGUCUGAAACUGUUUCAGCACCGGAAUCUUUGACAGCUUCACAACUUUGACGCUAUAUCAUAUUCAAAUCCAAAGGUGUAUGUAUAUACCCAGCUUGGGGUGGUGGAAGAGGGCCCUUCCCAUCCAAUAUGAGCGACGUGUUUCACAUCGAAUCUCGAAUUUUUAUUUUAUGUUCUUACCGAAGAUACGAGCGAUGUAUCUCAAGCCUUUCAAAAGGCCCUUC